rnacentral:lncRNA from 1 species
UUUAUUUUAUUUUUGUAUCAUAUUGCAUUGCAUUUCAUCUCAUCAUGUAUAUUAGAGCAUUUUGAGCUUCAUGAUUAUAGUUGUUAGAUUGAGAUUAUGCUCUUUGUGAUAUGUCUUGUAUGUACAUGAUGGUGCUUGUCGCUUAGGCUCCUUUUGAUCACUUGAUGCAUGUUAUGAGCUAAGCAUGUUUUAUAACUUGUGAACUUGACAUAAACUUGUUGAAACCUAAAAAUUGUUCACCAUUGUGAUUGGCAACUAGCAUGUGUAGGAUGUGUUGAGAUCACUUGAGCUAUCAUUUAUAUGCUAGGUUGCUAUGUCUCAUGCUUUGAGUUAUACACUUGCUUGGACAACUUGUAAAUACUUGUGCUAAAAAUUGAAAAUCAAGCUAAGUAAAAAGAAAAGAUCAAGAUGGGUCUGUACUGUCCUACGUCAAGGUAUCGAGACUGCUUCCAAAGUUCCAAUUGCACUUAUGGAUGAACUUGAGCCUUGUAGUGGAUGCCGAGAUCAUUGUCUUAAGCUUGCGAUUGUCUCUGACAUAGGCUUGGCAUGGUCGAUAAGUUGGUUUGAUGGUACAGAUAACCUCUCGCACUCACACAUGUUUUUGACUAAACCUUGUGAUAUGCUGCAAACUCCGAUAAAAUGAAAAUUUGAUGAAACACAAGUCUAAAGUUAGUCUUUGACAUGAUGUAUGAACGCUGCUUGGGGUAGUUCACCUUGUAUACACUUGUUAGCACUAGGUUGAUUUCCUGCUUAUACCUGCUAUGUGCUACUUCCAGUGGUGAACUCCUUCUUAUAAUUGCUUAAAAUUGAUAAAAAAUGCUUAAAUGCCAUAUUUCGUUUCACUUGAUCAGUUUGAGCAUUUGCUAGCACUUGUACUUAUUGCUAUACACUCAUGACAGCACCACCUAGAGCAUCUUUUCAAUAUGAUUGCUAUACUCCU